rnacentral:rRNA from 1 species
CCCUUAGAUGUUCUGGGCCGCACGCGCGCUACACUGACGAUGGCAACGAGUUUUUCCUUCGCCGAAAGGUGUGGGUAAUCUUUUGAAACAUCGUCGUGCUGGGGAUAGAUCAUUGCAAUUUUUGAUCUUGAACGAGGAAUUCCUAGUAAGCGCGAGUCAUCAGCUCGCGUUGAUUACGUCCCUGCCCUUUGUACACACCGCCCGUCGCUACUACCGAUUGAAUGGUUUAGUGAGGACUCCUGAUUGGCGCCGCCGCCCCGGCAACGGAGCAGCGGACUGCCGAAAAGUUGUUCAAACUUGAUCAUUUAGAGGAAGUAAAAGUCGUAACG